CUCAGAUUACCAAGAAAAGAACCUCAAAAAUCAGGCACGGUCAGGUAGGCCUAAAACCAAGGAUUCUGAGGCUGUGCU